rnacentral:snRNA from 1 species
AUCGCUUCUCGGCCUUUUGGCUAAGAUCAAGUGUAGAAAGAUGCUAAGGGUAGAGUCUAAAAAGAGAUUCUUAACAUUGAAAGGUUCCUUAGAGUUUUUCAGGACUAAGACUACCUUUC